GAUGAAGAACGUAGCGAAAUGCGACAAGUAAUGUGAAUUGCAGAAUUCCGUGAGUCAUCGAAUCUUUGAACGCACAUUGCGCCCUGUGGUAUUCCGCAGGGCAUGCCUGUUCGAGCGUCAUUUCAACCCUCAAGCCCCGCUUGGUGUUGGGCCCCGCCCGCCGUGGCCGGCCCUAAAGACAGUGGCGGCGCCGCCUGGCCCUCAGCGUAGUACAGCUCUCGCUCCAGGGUCCGGCGGCCGCCUGCCAGAACCCCCCCAACUCUGUGGUUGACCUCGGAUCAGGUAGGGAUACCCGCUGAACUUAAGCAUAUCAAUAAGCGGAGGA
rnacentral:misc_RNA from 1 species